rnacentral:rRNA from 1 species
AAAGGUAGCGUAAUCAUUUGUCUACUAAUUAUAGACCAGUAUGAAAGGCAAAAUGAGGGUCUAACUGUCUCUUAUAAUAAAUCUAUGAAACUGAUCUCCUAGUAAAAAAGCUAGAAUAUUCCCAUAAGACCAGAAGACCCUGUGAAGCUUAAACUAAACUAUUAACCCAAAUAAUAAUUACUUUCGGUUGGGGCGACCUUGGAAAAAAAAAGAACUUCCAAACACUAUGAAUAUACCUCAUACACACAAGGCCAACAAGCCAAUAAAAGACCCAGCACAGCUGAAAACUGAACCAAGUUACUCCAGGGAUAACAGCGCAAUCUUCUUCAAGAGCCCAUAUCAAAAAGAAGGUUUACGACCUCGAUGUUGGAUCAGGACAUCCUAAUGGUGCAGCCGCUAUUAAGGGUUCGUUUGUUCAACGAUUAAAGUCCU